GCUUGAUCCCUGCUCAGGCUUCGUCUUCUGGGUUGCCCGAAGCUUGGCACUCCCCUCCAGGACAACGGAUCCGGGAAGAGGACCGGAGCCCGCGGCCUUCCUCGCCCCCUCUGCUUUUCUCCGUGAUUCCCGGCGGGUUCAUCAAGCAGCUGGUUCGGGAGACCGAGAAGGAGUCGAAGGGAGUCAAACUGAAAGAGAAAAUCCAGCUGCGUGAGCAGGAGGAUCCCCUGGGGAAGUGCGACGACAGCUCAGCGCAGCCGCUGGCUCGCCAGGCCCGGGACAUCCUGCAGGUCGGAGGGACGAUGGGGAGCAAAGGAGAAGUGCUGCAGAACGGCCUGAACGGGGAGAAGCACGA
rnacentral:lncRNA from 1 species